GAUGAAGAACGCAGCGAAAUGCGAUAAGUAAUGUGAAUUGCAGAAUUCAGUGAAUCAUCGAAUCUUUGAACGCACCUUGCACCCUUUGGCAUUCCGAAGGGUAUGCUCGUUUGAGUGUCAUUGUACUCUCACUCUCCCGAUGCUUUUGGAUCGGGAGUGGUGGACUUGGGUGUUGCUGCUUUGCUGUGGCUCGCCUCAAAUGGAGUAGUGCAACUCUUGGUUGGACAUAGUACGGCGUGAUAAGUGUCUUCGCCGGCGCCUCAUUAUAGAGGGUGGCCGAUCGGGAGCUCUGUGCUUCAAACCGUCUUCGGACAACAUCUGACAACUUGACCUAAUCGAGUAGGACUACCCGCUGAACUUAAGCAUAUCAAUAAGCGGAGGA
rnacentral:misc_RNA from 1 species